CUCAGAAAGGAUGAAGUUUACUUAUACCGCCCCAGUCUGAAAGUUCAUGACUGAUUGGUAUCCCCUCUGAUCUGCU
ensembl:snoRNA SNORD31 Small nucleolar RNA SNORD31